rnacentral:rRNA from 1 species
UUGAACGCUGGCGGCAUGCUUUACACAUGCAAGUCGAACGGCAGCGCGGGGCAACCUGGCGGCGAGUGGCGAACGGGUGAGUAAUAUAUCGGAACGUACCCAAGAGUGGGGGAUAACGUAGCGAAAGUUACGCUAAUACCGCAUACGAUCCAAGGAUGAAAGCAGGGGACCGCAAGGCCUUGUGCUCCUGGAGCGGCCGAUAUCUGAUUAGCUAGUUGGUGAGGUAAAGGCUCACCAAGGCGACGAUCAGUAGCUGGUCUGAGAGGACGACCAGCCACACUGGAACUGAGACACGGUCCAGACUCCUACGGGAGGCAGCAGUGGGGAAUUUUGGACAAUGGGCGCAAGCCUGAUCCAGCAAUGCCGCGUGAGUGAAGAAGGCCUUCGGGUUGUAAAGCUCUUUUGUCAGGGAAGAAACGGCGCGGGCUAAUAUCCUGCGCUAAUGACGGUACCUGAAGAAUAAGCACCGGCUAACUACGUGCCAGCAGCCGCGGUAAUACGUAGGGUGCAAGCGUUAAUCGGAAUUACUGGGCGUAAAGCGUGCGCAGGCGGUUUUGUAAGUCUGAUGUGAAAUCCCCGGGCUCAACCUGGAAUUGCAUUGGAGACUGCAAGGCUAGAAUCUGGCAGAGGGGGGUAGAAUUCCACGUGUACCAGUGAAAUGCGUAGAGAUGUGGAGGAACACCGAUGGCGAAGGCAGCCCCCUGGGUCAAGAUUGACGCUCAUGCACGAAAGCGUGGGGAGCAAACAGGAUUAGAUACCCUGGUAGUCCACGCCCUAAACGAUGUCUACUAGUUGUCGGGUUUUAAUUAACUUGGUAAACGCAGCUAACGCGUGAAGUAGACCGCCUGGGGAGUACGGUCGCAAGAUUAAAACUCGAAGGAAUUGACGGGGACCCGCACAAGCGGUGGAUGAUGUGGAUUAAUUCGAUGCAACGCGAAAAACCUUACCUACCCUUGACAUGUCAGGAACCCUGGAGAGAUCCGGGGGUGCCCGAAAGGGAACCUGAACACAGGUGCUGCAUGGCUGUCGUCAGCUCGUGUCGUGAGAUGUUGGGUUAAGUCCCGCAACGAGCGCAACCCUUGUCAUUAGUUGCUACGAAAGAGCACUCUAAUGAGACUGCCGGUGACAAACCGGAGGAAGGUGGGGAUGACGUCAAGUCCUCAUGGCCCUUAUGGGUAGGGCUUCACACGUCAUACAAUGGUACAUACAGAGGGCCGCCAACCCGCGAGGGGGAGCUAAUCCCAGAAAGUGUAUCGUAGUCCGGAUUGUAGUCUGCAACUCGACUACAUGAAGUUGGAAUCGCUAGUAAUCGCGGAUCAGCAUGUCGCGGUGAAUACGUUCCCGGGUCUUAUACACACCGCCCGUCACACCAUGGGAGCGGGUUUUACCAGAAGUAGGUAGCUUAACCGCAAGGAGGGCGCUUACCACGGUAGGAUUCGUGACUGGGGUG